rnacentral:rRNA from 1 species
GACGAACGCUGGCGGCGUGCUUAACACAUGCAAGUCGAGCGGAAAGGCCCUUCGGGGUACUCGAGCGGCGAACGGGUGAGUAACACGUGAGUAACCUGCCCCAGACUUUGGGAUAACCCUCGGAAACGGGGGCUAAUACCGGAUACGACACAGCUUCGCAUGGGGUCUGUGUGGAAAGUUUUUCGGUUUGGGAUGGGCUCGCGGCCUAUCAGCUUGUUGGUGGGGUGAUGGCCUACCAAGGCGACGACGGGUAGCCGGCCUGAGAGGGCGACCGGCCACACUGGGACUGAGACACGGCCCAGACUCCUACGGGAGGCAGCAGUGGGGAAUAUUGCAGAAUGGGCGGAAGCCUGAUGCAGCGACGCCGCGUGAGGGAUGACGGCCUUCGGGUUGUAAACCUCUUUCAGCAGGGACGAAGCGUAAGUGACGGUACCUGCAGAAGAAGCGACGGCCAACUACGUG